rnacentral:rRNA from 1 species
GACAUAUAGAGGAAACGUGCAGAAAUGUACGCCCCGCAAGGUCUCUAUACAGGUGGUGCAUGGUUGUCGUCAGCUCGUGUCGUGAGAUGUUGGCUUAAGUCCCGCAACGAGCGCAACCCUCGUCCUAUGUUGCCAGCACGUAAUGGUGGGAACUCAUGGGAGACUGCCGGGCUCAACUCGGAGGAAGGUGGGGAUGACGUCAAAUCAUCAUGCCCCUUAUGUCUUGGGCUUCACGCAUGCUACAAUGGCCAGUACAAAGGGCUGCAAUACCGUAAGGUGGAGCGAAUCCCAAAAAGCUGGUCUCAGUUCGGAUUGAGGUCUGCAACUCGACCUCAUGAAGUCGGAGUCGCUAGUAAUCGCAGAUCAGCAACGCUGCGGUGAAUACGUCCCCGGGCAUGGUACACACCGCCCGUCAAGUCACGA